UUAGCCCCUAAUGUCCUUAAGUCCACCGGUCUACCCACUUGGCGGCAAUGCUAUUACUUUACUAUUUGUUUCAUUACAACAGAAAAUGUUUGAAGAAAUCCUCUUUUAGUUUUUGGUUACCUUACAAAAAUAUAAUUCUCCCAAAUACUUCCACCAAUAUGGGAAACUGACUAAUACGUAACUUAGUAUCUAAGCUAGAAAUUACCUGAAGUGUGUGAGAGCUAAUUUUGGUGGGAAAGUUUGUUAAGUUGGCAUUUUCUUAUCCUAGUUUAAUUUCCCAUUUUCUUUUAUUUUAUUUUCAGCACACUUCAUGUGAGCAUAGCUGGUAGUAUAAAAGCUCAAUCAAACACUUGUAUUGCAUCAUGAUAAAUGAUAAUACAAAUUGCUAAUUUCCUUCCUAAACUUCUCCUCAUGUGUGCCCUUUUCUCUCAUUUUUCUCUUCUUUUUUGAUGAAGUAAGAAAUUUCAUUAAAAGGAUCAAGAAGAUGAGCAAAAGGGGAGUACAUUUGAGCUAACAAAAGAGACUUGUGUUACAUUCCUUUCUUCUCUCUCCUCUGUUCUUCGAUAACAACAAUUAGGUAUCAAAUGGUAUCAAAACAUUGAUCUCUUGGGGCUGUGUUCAUGGAGAAGAACACAUCAACUGGGAGCUCAAGCUGAGAUCCUAAGAUGAUGGAAAAUCGGGUGGAUUUGGCUGCACGACUUGCUGCUAUGGCUGCUAGUCAGAAGGAAUUAAUGAAUCGAAAAGACCAGAUGGAACAACGACUGUCAAAUUAUUUAAAAUGAUAAGUGAACUGAAGGAGGCUAUUAAUGGCCUUCACCUGCAGAACAAACAAAGAGAAGCUCUUUCUCCCCAAGAGCGGCACUGAAGCUAUUCUGCAGACUGAGAAAAAAUCUCAAGCUGGAUUGGUCUCUGCCAGCGAAAUCACUGGACUAAAUAAAAUUAGAGAACUAGUUCAAAAAUGAACGAUUGUGAGAUGUUUGAAGGAAUGACCCAAGGAUUUAUAGCAGAUAUAUCGGACCAGCAACACACUAUGAAUAUCCGUAAGAACAUGGAACUAAAAAAAGUUUGUCGAUGCUCUCCACAUUCGCAAUAACCACAAAGCCGUCCAGUCGCCGAAAACUAAGGACAAUGAAAAAUCUGAUCAGAGAGUUUAAUUUGAGUACUGUUCACUUUAACAUCCCUAUAAACAUGCAUCAAGUUGAGAGAACUAAAAUUGCUUACCGCAUUCGAUCAAAUGCUUGAAAGCAGUGGUGGAUGUAAGAAUUGUGUGAUAGGUAGGGACAUGAUUACUCAAGGUGUUUUGUUUCAUUUUCCAUUUGACCUUGGUCAAAAUGUGCUUACUAGCACCUCUAGUAAUUCACUGCUUGGUGGUUACUGUGAAAAUAAAUAGAUGCACUAUGCAGUCACAUGUUUGGGACAACACCUGACAAAAUUAUUGUUUCCUGGAAAGUGAUGAUCUCCUGCUAUACCAGAGGUUUAUGGUGUCAUGAAGUUGUGAGUGUAUUUCCUGGUUAUUUAGGAUAUAUCCAGACCAACACAACAGAGAUUCAAAUGAUUUGGCGAAAUAUGGAAAAUAAGUGCCAUAAUUACUGGUAAAUCUGAAGAAAUCAGCUUUAGGGUACCAUUGCAAUUAUUGUUUAGCUGGUUGCUCAAGAGUGAGGUGUCAUAGUCAAACACAUGAAGAUUUUGAUUUGUGUACUGAGUGCUUCAACAGUAGCAAAUUCGAAGUUGACAUGUUUCCUUCAGAUUCCAUUUCUAUUGACCUUGUUGAGGAAGAACAAACAACAAAUGAUUCAUGGGAUGUGCCUACAGAAUCUUUUUUUUUAUGAAGUAGAUGUGCCUAAAGAAUCUACAACUGUUGAUGGCAGCACACAUUUUGAGAUUGCAACAAUAAACCCAGUGUAAUCCCUCACCCCAAUUUUUUUGGGCCUACCUCUACCCCUCCUAAAGCUCUCUAUGGCCAAAAUCUCACACCUCCUUACCGGGGCAUCCACACAUCUCCUCUUCACAUGCCCGAACCAUCUCAACCUCACUUACUGCAUCUUAUCUUCCAUGGGGGCCACUCCCACCUUGGCGUGAGUAUCUUCAUUCCUAAUCUUAUCUCUCUUUGUAUGCCCACACCAUCCUUGUAUCCUCACCUAUGUUACUCUCAUCUUCCGGGCAUUGGACUUCUUGAUUGGCCAACACUUUGCACUAUAUAGCAUAGUCUGUCUAUAAAACUAAAAAGAGCUAAAAACCUGGUCAAGCUUUUAAGACAAUCCAAGCACCCUCUAAGGCUUUCUUCAUUCUCCUUUCUUGGUUUUUGAUGCAUGUAGUUAAUCAAAAAUCAAGAUGACAUCAAAAGUAGGAGACUAUUUGUCAAGUACGGUAUAGACACCAGGGGAACAAUAUAAAUCAAACAUUACAUUUCAAUUUUA